CCUACGGGUGGCAGCAGUGAGGAAUAUUGGUCAAUGGCCGUAAGGCUGAACCAGCCAAGUCGCGUGAAGGAAGAAGGCUCUAUGGUUUGUAAACUUCUUUUAUAGGGGAAUAAAGGUAUCCACGUGUGGAUAUUUGCAUGUACCCUAUGAAUAAGCAUCGGCUAACUCCGUGCCAGCAGCCGCGGUAAUACGGAGGAUGCGAGCGUUAUCCGGAUUUAUUGGGUUUAAAGGGAGCGUAGGUUGUUUUUUAAGUCAGCGGUGAAAGUUUGGGGCUCGACCAUAAAAUUGCAGUUGAAACUGGAAGACUUGGGUGUGUAUGAGGUAGGCGAAAUGCGUGGUGUGGCGGUGAAAUGCA
rnacentral:rRNA from 1 species